GGGAAAGAGUGGGCAUUAAGGUUCUGUCUGGGGGUUCACUUCAAGUCAAAGGGGCCCUAUUGGGAGGUAGCAUGGUAGAGUGAAAAAGAUCGUCACCUGGGGGAAUCAGGAGGCCUCAUGCUUGUCCAGGUUGUGCCUCUCACCUUGUGUGACUUGGGAGAAAUCACUUCUCCUUGGCCUCUGUUCCUCCUCAGUAAAAAAGAGUUUUGCUUGGAAGAUCUCAGAGGCCUUUCAUAACUGAGAAAUCUUUCAUCUAUUCAUGUGGAGCACACAGCCUGUGCUCUCAGGAUUUGGAGUAGUGGAAUAUGCCCUAAAUAUUGGAAAGAACCCAGAACAGCCAGACCUGAGAGACCAGAGGAACGCUCUGGAGCCUCCAUCCUUCAGGGUGUGCAGAGCUCCGGCUCUCUGCUCCUCACCUCACCUGGUUUCAUGCCUUUCUUCUGACUGCUGCUUGGCACCACAUUGAACCAGCAGCGGGAAGCAGACAGUCGUUCUUCACUCCUCGAGAGAGUCUCCCACUACACCCACCCCUCAGACGAUUUGUCAUGUAUUGUGAAUGAGCCCCUCAAGGUCCAAUAGAAUAAAUGCAUUUCUGGGCACAAUAAA